rnacentral:rRNA from 11 species
GACUUCUGUUAAAUUUCUUAAAGGCACCAGAUCCCCUCUGAUCUUGGAAGCUAGGCAGAAUCAGUUCUUGCUAGCACUUGUAUGGGAGACCAUCAAUGAAUAUUAGGUGCUGUAGGUU